rnacentral:lncRNA from 1 species
AUGAAGACGACUCUCUCGGAGAGGGCAAGUCAGAGGCACUGCUACAAGCAAAUACCACUCUUAUUUCUGGAACAGAUUGAAGAAGAGCUGAAAAGGUUUAUAUACCACAUGAGAAGUGAAGCAUUCCCCAGAACGGCAUUUGUACAGACAAAGGUAAAUCGCCUACCCCAUGAAGACCCAGCUGCGGUGAAAGAACAGAAGCCUUUUUAUCUUAAUAUACCUUCUCCAUUUACUUUCUAUGACAGGAUUCAAAUCUGUAAGGCUUUGUAACUCAAGGACAUGAAAGCAUAGCAAAACAAAUGUCCUGGUUAGCCAGACAAAGAGAACACGUAUUCAGUACUACACGCCAGAUCCAAGAAGAUACUAGGUACUAUUUGUAUCUAGUAUCUUUUGAAGAAAAGAAAGUGGAACUGGGGAAAGGAGCUGCCUUUUUUCCUUCCUAGUCACCUUAGACCUAUUAUUUUUUCACAUCCUAAUUUCCGAAUUAACAAGCAAAAUAACAAUCAUAUAAAACUAUGGCGGCAAAACAGCUAGAUAGAAAUUCAGUGCCUGGCUUUGCAGAGCCUGCAAAUACACCUGUAGGCUUUACCACAAGACAAAUCUCAUUUGUGCCUGUAUCAGUGAAACAGAGCAAAAUAUUGCACAAAUGCUAGUUCCCCUCCCCCCCAAUUACUGCAGCCUGGAAAGGGUUAAUGAGGGACCUAAUUAGCUCCCCACCUGUGACCAAGCUGCUUGUGAGAACCAGCAGCUAUAAAAGGCG